rnacentral:lncRNA from 1 species
GAGGAUUAGAGGAAUACCUCUAAGGUAACUAGAUUACUCUAUAGAUGAUCGCAGUAAUGCUCGAGGUUCUAAAAUAGCCACACAGUCGUCUGGCCUCUAUCGAUAUCCACUCAAGUAGGAUCUGGAUCAUCUUCUCCUCAUAAAUCUUUGCUCUAAAAAUUAGAUCUAUAUCUGAUCUACAAGAUCUUCAAAAGAUCUUCUGAAGCUAGAGCAGCAGCUUCUCGAUAAAUUCCUGCAGCC